GACGAACGCUGGCGGCGUGCUUAACACAUGCAAGUCGAACGAAGAGCGAUGGACGCUUGCUUCUCUCAAUCUUAGUGGCGAACGGGUGAGUAACGCGUAAUCAACCUGCCCUUCAGAGGGGGACAACAGUUGGAAACGACUGCUAAUACCGCAUACGAUCCAAUCUCGGCAUCGGGACUGGAUGAAAGGUGGCCUCUAUUUAUAAGCUAUCACUGAAGGAGGGGAUUGCGUCUGAUUAGCUAGUUGGAGGGGUAACGGCCCACCAAGGCGAUGAUCAGUAGCCGGUCUGAGAGGAUGAACGGCCACAUUGGGACUGAGACACGGCCCAGACUCCUACGGGAGGCAGCAGUGGGGAAUCUUACGCAAUGGACGAAAGUCUGACGGAGCAACGCCGCGUGAGUGAGGACGGCCUUCGGGUUGUAAAGCUCUGUUAAUCGGGACGAAUGGUUCUUGUGCGAAUAGUGCGAGGAUUUGACGGUACCGGAAUAGAAAGCCACGGCUAACUACGUG
rnacentral:rRNA from 1 species